GCUACACAUGCAGUCGAGCGGCAGCACAGAGGAACUUGUUCCUUGGGUGGCGAGCGGCGGACGGGUGAGUAAUGCCUAGGAAUUGCCCUGAUGUGGGGGAUAACCAUUGGAAACGAUGGCUAAUACCGCAUGAUGCCUACGGGCCAAAGAGGGGGACCUUCGGGCCUCUCGCGUCAGGAUAUGCCUAGGUGGGAUUAGCUAGUUGGUGAGGUAAUGGCUCACCAAGGCGACGAUCCCUAGCUGGUCUGAGAGGAUGAUCAGCCACACUGGAACUGAGACACGGUCCAGACUCCUACGGGAGGCAGCAGUGGGGAAUAUUGCACAAUGGGCGCAAGCCUGAUGCAGCCAUGCCGCGUGUAUGAAGAAGGCCUUCGGGUUGUAAAGUACUUUCAGUCGUGAGGAAGGUGGUGUUGUUAAUAGCAGCAUCAUUUGACNUUAGCGACAGAGAGCACCGGCUAACUCCGUGCCAGCAGCCGCGUAAUACGGAGGGGC
rnacentral:rRNA from 1 species